rnacentral:ncRNA from 1 species
AGAAAACCAAUGACAGAGCAAAGUAGCUUGGAAACACAUGAAAAGAGAAGAAAUGUCUUAGGCUGAAAGCAUUUCUACAUGAUGACCUUGUGAACGAACACUCAAUAGGUUUCAUUCUGAACUUUUAAACAGUAGGAAUGAACGUGAACAGGCGUUAACUGUUAUGAGUGGAAGCGAAAUUUGCUUCAAUUAGGGUGGCACCACGGGUAUAUAACUCUCGUCCCUUGU